AACGCUAGCUACAGGCUUAACACAUGCAAGUCGAGGGGCAGCGCAGUGUAGCAAUACAUGGGCGGCGACCGGCGCACGGGUGCGUAACGCGUAUCCAACCUUCCCGUUACUCAGGGAUAGCCUUCCGAAAGGGAGAUUAAUACCUGAUGGUGUUGAAAUUCCGCAUGUUAUUUCAACUAAAGAUUUAUCGGUAACGGAUGGGGAUGCGUGACAUUAGAUAGUAGGCGGGGUAACGGCCCACCUAGUCUACGAUGUCUAGGGGUUCUGAGAGGAAGGUCCCCCACACUGGAACUGAGACACGGUCCAGACUCCUACGGGAGGCAGCAGUGAGGAAUAUUGGUCAAUGGUCGGAAGACUGAACCAGCCAAGUAGCGUGAAGGAUGAAGGUUCUAUGGAUUGUAAACUUCUUUUAUACGGGAAUAAAACCUCCCACGUGUGGGAGCUUGUAUGUACCGUAUGAAUAAGCAUCGGCUAACUCCGUGCCAGCAGCCGCGGUAAUACGGAGGAUGCGAGCGUUAUCCGGAUUUAUUGGGUUUAAAGGGAGCGUAGACGGGAGAUUAAGUCAGUUGUGAAAGGCUGCGGCUCAACCGCAGCACUGCAGUUGAUACUGGUUUCCUUGAGUUCGGUUGAGGUGUAUGGAAUUCGUGGUGUAGCGGUGAAAUGCUUAGAUAUCACGAAGAACUCCGAUUG
rnacentral:rRNA from 1 species